rnacentral:rRNA from 1 species
CGCGGCCUAUCAGCUUGUUGGUGAGGUAAUGGCUCACCAAGGCGACGACGGGUAGCCGGCCUGAGAGGGUGACCGGCCACACUGGGACUGAGACACGGCCCAGACUCCUACGGGAGGCAGCAGUGGGGAAUAUUGCACAAUGGGCGCAAGCCUGAUGCAGCAACGCCGCGUGGGGGACGAAGGCCUUCGGGUUGUAAACCCCUUUUAGCAGGGAAGAAGCGCAAGUGACGGUACCUGCAGAAAAAGCACCGGCUAACUACGUGCCAGCAGCCGCGGUAAUACGUAGGGUGCAAGCGUUGUCCGGAAUUAUUGGGCGUAAAGAGCUCGUAGGCGGUGUGUCGCGUCUGCUGUGAAAAUCCAAGGCUCAACCUUGGACCUGCAGUGGGUACGGGCACACUAGAGUGCGGUAGGGGAGAUUGGAAUUCCUGGUGUAGCGGUGGAAUGCGCAGAUAUCAGGAGGAACACCAAUGGCGAAGGCGGAUCUCUGGGCCGUAACUGACGCUGAGGAGCGAAAGCGUGGGGAGCGAACAGGAUUAGAUACCCUGGUAGUCCACGCCGUAAACGGUGGGAACUAGAUGUGGGGUCCGUUCCACGGAUUCCGUGUCGCAGCUAACGCAUUAAGUUCCCCGCCUGGGGAGUACGG